AUUGAACGCUGGCGGCAGGCCUAACACAUGCAAGUCGAGCGGUAGCACAGAGAGCUUGCUCUCGGGUGACGAGCGGCGGACGGGUGAGUAAUGUCUGGGAAACUGCCUGAUGGCGGGGGAUAACUACUGGACACGGUAGCUAAUACCGCAUAACGUCGCAAGACCAAAGAGGGGGACCUUCGGGCCUGUUGCCCUCAGAUGUGCCCAGAUGGGAUUAGCUAGUAGGUGGGGUAACGGCUCACCAAGGCGACGAUCCCUAGCUGGUCUGAGAGGAUGACCAGCCACACUGGAACGGAGACACGAUCCAGACUCCUACGGGAGGCAGCAGUGGGGAAUAUUGCACAAUGGGCGCAAGCCUGAUGCAGCCAUGCCGCGUGUAUGAAGAAGGCCUUCGGGUUGUAAAGUACUUUCAGCGGGGAGGAAGGUGUUGAGGUUAAUAACCUCAGCAAUUGACGUUACCCGCAGAAGAAGCACCGGCUAACUCCGUGCCAGCAGCCGCCGUAACAC
rnacentral:rRNA from 1 species